GGGCGGUUAGCUCAGUUGGGAGAGCACCUGCCUUACAAGCAGGGGGUCAGCGGUUCGAGUCCGUUACCGCCCACCA
rnacentral:tRNA from 1 species